UUACGUUUUGUCAAACAUUGCCGCGUGUCAGCUUCUCUGUAAGGCAAUUAGUUGUGCAGAGAAGUAGCCGGUAAGGCAAUAUUGAAAUAUAUUUAGUCGAUUAUCUCGGAAAUGGUGUAUCCAAUCGAGGCGUAUAGAUAUAACCCUUUAUUUAUAAUUUUUAAUGUAUGUGAAGAAUACGGUUUCAUAUUUUUGGAAAUUGCUAAGUGUCCAUCUCUUUUUGAGAUAAAAUCCUCCCACAACCCUCGUAUCUCCACCCGCAUGGACGCUAUCACAACCAUCCAUAUGCCAUGUUAUUUCAAUCUUCCAACUAGUUCCCUGUGCCAAAUAUCAUAAAAAAUGAAAAAGCCAUUUUUUUAAAUAACG
rnacentral:lncRNA from 1 species